CGUCAAGUCAUCAUGGCCUUUAUGGCCAGGGCUACACACGUGCUACAAUGGUAGGUACAGAGGGCUGCGAUCCCGCGAGGGUGAGCGAAUCCCACAAAGCCGGUCUCAGUUCGGAUUGGAGUCUGCAACUCGACUCCAUGAAGCCGGAGUUGCUAGUAAUCCCGGAUCAGCACGCCGGGGUGAAUACGUUCCCGGGCCUU
rnacentral:rRNA from 1 species